GGAAAGCUUGCUGGCGCGCGAAGCUGAGUUUCUGGAUGAACUCAGGUUCGGCAGCUGAAGGAGGAGUUCGGCCGCCGAACAUGCCCAAGGUUCGGAUCUGUUCUGGACAUUCGGCCGCCGAAGGUGCUACCGAAGGUGUUCUGUCCAGCCUUCCUUUGCAUGUUUUAUGUGAUUGUUUUGAGAGGUUUUAGAGGGAUUCUUGGGAAGAUGUUUAAGGGUUAUGAUAGAGUAUGUUUGACACCUCAUUCGAGUCCAUUUGAUUCAGGACUGGACCCGAGAGAUCGAGGAGGUCAUCAG
rnacentral:lncRNA from 1 species